rnacentral:misc_RNA from 1 species
UCAAUGAGCAGCGGGCCCGCGU